rnacentral:rRNA from 1 species
UACGGAGGAUCCAAGCGUUAUCCGGAAUCAUUGGGUUUAAAGGGUCCGUAGGCGGUUUGGUAAGUCAGUGGUGAAAUCCGGCAGCUCAACUGUCGAACUGCCAUUGAUACUGUAGGGCUUGAAUUAUUGUGAAGUAACUAGAAUAUGUAGUGUAGCGGUGAAAUGCUUAGAUAUUACAUGGAAUACCAAUUGCGAAGGCAGGUUACUAACAUUACAUUGACGCUGAUGGACGAAAGCGUGGGGAGCGAACAGG